UUUGGUAAAAAGCUGUUGAAGUGAAUGAGCUUUCUUCUUUUCUUUUCGUCUUUAAAUUGAUUGCAUCAAAGAAUAAUGGCCCACCUAUUAAAGCAAUUCCACUCAUUUGCCAUGGUAAAAGACAAAAGGAGGUAUAUGCUGUUACUAUUCACGCCUCACAUAAAAUUAAGAAUUUUUAUUAUUAUUUUAAUUUUUAAUUUUUUCAUUUGCUCAUGACAGGAACAAUUUAUGUUAAACUACCACGCGUAUAAGAAAUAAAAUAGUACUAUACAUCAAAAAAAGAAAAAAAGAAAAAAAGAAAAAAGAAAAAGAGGCCUAGCAAGCGAGGGAUAUUGAAUGAUCAAUACUCGUUGCCGAAGUCACAAAAUCCGACAGUAUUCUUGGCCUGGUUCCUCUGAAUUUUAAUAUCUUCAAAGGUGAAAACAAGAUUGGAGCCGCCAUCCUGCUUGUCAGUGGAGCCCGCGGUCUUCUUGUUGCCGAAGUUAAAUACUCCAACGGUUUCGCCUUUGUUGUCGCAGAUUUCGUUCCCCCGAAAGUUGAAAGCUUUGGAUCCUUUUCCUUUGGGAUUAUUAGAAUUAGUGUUAGAAGCAGGCUCUGGAUCAUUUCUUUUGGUUGCGGAAGUCUCUUCUGGAUUAGUUUUGGGAAGGCAGAAACAAGUUGUCAUUAUGUGGUCUCAGUUUGGAGGUUAAUUGGAGGCUCAAAAUGAAGUACAGAGGUUGAUAAUUUGC
rnacentral:lncRNA from 1 species